rfam:Dipodomys ordii contig_16692, whole genome shotgun sequence.
GGUGGCUCAGUGGUAGAGCACUUGCUUUGCAGGCAUGAGGCCCUGGGUUCGAUUCCUUAGCACCA